UGGGGAAUUUUGGACAAUGGGGGAAACCCUGAUCCAGCCAUCCCGCGUGUGCGAUGAAGGCCUUCGGGUUGUAAAGCACUUUUGGCAGGAAAUAAACGUCAUGGGUUAAUACCCCGUGAAACUGACGGUACCUGCAGAAUAAGCACCGGCUAACUACGUGCCAGCAGCCGCGGUAAUACGUAGGGUGCAAGCGUUAAUCGGAAUUACUGGGCGUAAAGCGUGCGCAGGCGGUUCGGAAAGAAAGAUGUGAAAUCCCAGAGCUCAACUUUGGAACUGCAUUUUUAACUGCCGGGAUAGAGUGUGUCAGAGGGAGGUGGAAUUCCGGGUGUAGCGGUGAAAUGCGUAAAUAUGCGGAGGAACACAGAUGGGGAAGGCGGCCACCUGGGAUAACACUAACGCUCAUGCACGAAAGCGUGGGGAGCAAACAGG
rnacentral:rRNA from 1 species